UACGUAGGGGGCAAGCGUUGUCCGGAAUCAUUGGGCGUAAAGAGCGUGUAGGCGGCCCGGUAAGUCCGCUGUGAAACUCGAGGCUCAACCUCGAGAUGUCGGCUGAAACCAUCUGGCUAGAGUCCGGAAGAGGAGAAUGGAAUUCCCGGUGUAGCGGUGAAAUGCGCAGAUAUCGGGAAGAACACCCGUGGCGAAGGCGGUUCUCUGGGACGGUACUGACGCUGAGACGCGAAAGCGUGGGGAGCGAACAGG
rnacentral:rRNA from 1 species